rnacentral:lncRNA from 1 species
GAGAUUGUAAACUGUGUAACAAGGCAUUGUGGCUUGUCAAGUUAGCAACAUGUGAUGUGUUGCUCUUGGAGCUUCUUCAGGUCUUGUUGUUAGGCUUUUCUUCAAGAACAAGAGGAGCUUUUGGAUUGACUCGAUUUUACAGAUACAUCUGCAGAUUUUGAGAAUCAAAAUUGGACAAUCGAGUCAAUUCAGAAUCUCCUAUUGUUCUUACGAAUUUGGUGGCCACACUCCUCAAGCAAUUUACCUUAAGAAAAUCCCCAAAUGGCCAAAUCAAGAUCAAGAAACCAAAAUGGUUACAAAUCAAACAAUGAACAGAUCAACUCAACGAUCCAAAGCUUUGACUAUCAGAUCCAGCCCCACAGAUUAGCCGGAGAAUUCAUCGGAAAACUAUUUUUUUUUUUUUUCUGUCUCAGAAAGAUAAAACGCUCUUCG